UACGUAGGGUGCAAGCGUUAAUCGGAAUUACUGGGCGUAAAGCGUGCGCAGGCGGUUUUGUAAGUUUGUCGUGAAAGCCCCGGGCUCAACCUGGGAAUUGCGAUGAAGACUGCAAGGCUUGAAUCUGGCAGAGGGGGGUAGAAUUCCGACGUGUAGCAGUGAAAUGCGUAGAGAUGUGGAGGAACACCGAUGGCGAAGGCAGCCCCCUGGGUCAAGAUUGACGCUCAUGCACGAAAGCGUGGG
rnacentral:rRNA from 1 species